GAUGAAGAACGUAGCGAAAUGCGAUAAGUAAUGUGAAUUGCAGAAUUCAGUGAAUCAUCGAAUCUUUGAACGCACAUUGCGCCCGCUAGUAUUCUGGCGGGCAUGCCCGUUCGAGCGUCAUUUCAACCAUCAAGCCCUGUUUAGGCUUGUGUUGGGGCCCUGCGGCUGCCGCAGCCCCCUAAAUGCAGUGGCGGGCUCGUUGUCACUCCGAGCGCAGUAGCGUAUCUCGCUCUGGGCGUGGCGGCGGGUGCUAGCCGUGAAACACCCACUAAGGUUGACCUCGGAUCAGGUAGGAAUACCCGCUGAACUUAAGCAUAUCAAUAAGCGGAGGA
rnacentral:misc_RNA from 1 species